rnacentral:rRNA from 1 species
GAUCAUGGCUCAGGACGAACGCUGGCGGCGUGCCUAACACAUGCAAGUCGAGCGGGGACAUGCGACGGAUAGGAAGAUUCGGUUGGACUUGAAGAUGCAUUGUCUAGCGGCGGACGGGUGAGUAACGCGUGAGCAACCUGUCCCUUACAGGGGGAUAACACAGCGAAAGUUGUACUAAUACCGCAUGAGACCACGGGAGGACAUCCUCCAGGGGUCAAAGGAGCAAUCCGGUAAGGGGUGGGCUCGCGUCCGAUUAGAUAGUUGGUGAGGUAACGGCCCACCAAGUCGACGAUCGGUAGCCGACCUGAGAGGGUGAUCGGCCACAUUGGGACUGAGACACGGCCCAAACUCCUACGGGAGGCAGCAGUGGGGAAUAUUGGGCAAUGGGGGGAAACCCUGACCCAGCAACGCCGCGUGAGGGAAGAAGGUUUUCGGAUCGUAAACCUCUGUCCUUGGUGAAGAGGAAGAGACGGUAGCCAAGGAGGAAGCCCCGGCUAACUACGUGCCAGCAGCCGC